ensembl:snRNA U2 U2 spliceosomal RNA
AUUGCUUCUUGGCCUUUUGGCUAAGAUCAAGUGUAGUAUCUGUUCUUAUCAGUUUAAUAAACACAUUCUUGAACCUCAGGUUACAAAACUUUGGUUUAAGGUCAUAGUAGACCCAGUCAGCCCAGAAUGUAGAACUUUGAGUUUCUUGGGUGACUUUAG